AUCCAAAUCAGAUCAAUCGAACGGCCACGGCUUAUGAAGUGGGUUAAUUAUAUGAUACGCCGAUCUCCCUCUCUCCGUUACCCACCGCUGAAGCCCUCCUCCUCUCUCUCUCUCUCUCUCUCCUUUGCUUUCCUGAAACCUCGAUCGCCUCGAUCUCUCGCCUCGAUCAGAUAUGCUUACACAUUACUUGUAUCAGUUUUCUUUUCGAUGGGAGGGGAUAAUCACCGCCGAUCAUCGUCGACCUCGUGGAAAAUCUCCGUUAAUAGCUCCGGUGAUCAGGUAUUCUCCACCUUCGUUUCGUAUCGGGGUCAUCUUCCUUCGCCUCUGGAGAUUAGGGAAGCCCUUCUCUACGCGAUCCCAAUUUUUCUGAUUCGGGUUUUCUUUGUGUCCUGUUGGAUGGAGAAUGAAUUCUUUGAUACGGUUUUUUAGUAAAAAAUCGUUGCAAAUUCGAAUCUGGAUAGCGUUGUUUCUCCUCUGCCUGCCUUUUCUCUUUGAUCCAUGAGGCUCUGUGAAUUCGAUUUUUCAUCAUGAUCAAAACUAGUUUAAUUAGAAGGUAAUUUAUACCUCAAGAUCAUGACAUGCCUAUUGCGUGAUGCGCUUGGACAUAUGCGCAUGCAUACUGCAAAAACCAUUGGUUGUUCAGUUACUGUGUACAAAUUUAUCAUUCACCUCCGGAUGAGUCAUCGAUGCCAUUAUUUUGAUUCUUGCAAAUUAAUCUUUUUUUCCUGGAGAUGAUUAAUUGAUGCAGAGACAAAACUAUCACUUGUCAGCUGAUGGAUCUGUAGUUGGUUUUUUUUUUCGUCGUAUUUUGUGGUGCUUAAGUCUAAUUUUCUCUUCUGCUCUUACCAAAGUUCUGCUAAGAGACCUCAGUAAUUAAUACUAAAAUCUUAUCUUCUUGUUGCAACAAAAAUUCCUUCAUUUCUACCAUCUGCUCUGCAGAAACAGACCCAUUAGUUAGAAUUGUUAUUAUACAUCUAUCUAAUUCUGGGUUGUGAGAAACAAAGAUGUUUCAUGCAGUUCUCAGUCUUCAUUAGUUAGAAUUGUGAAGAUGGAUGAGCAGAUUGUCUCAGCCUUAGGAGAAGUAGGGAUCGACCUAAAAGUAUUGAGUCAUGUCAUUGGUGAAGUUGGUACAGGCCCUACCAUCACAUCAAAUUAUGGCCUGUCAUCAUCAGGUACAACAAGGCAAAGUAAAGAAGCCAAUUACAAAGUUUGGUCACAGUGGCUGCCUGAUCGGGCAGCCGAUAUCGACUUUGGAUGGACUGGUAGAGCAAUUAAGAGCCUACUGUUGCUACACUAAACCGAGUAGAAUGCCGGCUGAUUUGGUCGUCUGAGGUGACGACAUCUAUUGGACGUUUAAAUCUGUCGAAGAGAAGAAGAACCGAGGCCGGCAUGGUCAAAGGUAUGACGCUGUGGAAGCUAGGACUUCUCUUGUGUACUUUGGAUGACUAGAGGUUUGGGCAUGGAGCACACAACAAGGAGACUGUUGGGAGAAUCUGCAGGUAUUUUACACCUAAAUAGGAGCACAUACGUCGGCAAUUUAUGGCGAGAUACGAUUGGUGGAUGGAAAAGGAUGACACUAUUCUCUCUCUCUCUCUUUCAUCCAUCAAUUACCACAUGACAAGUUGUCCCGUAUCAUUUAUGGAGUUCGUUUCUUUGUGGAAGGGCUUUCAGACCGCAGAGUGGCAUACCCAUGCACAGGUCUGCUGCACGUCUUUUACGCACUGACCUCGUUUCACUCGAUGCUGACUUUAUGGUGCAGGUGUUGGCAUGUGAACAUUCCACAGCUCAUUUCGUUGGGGAAAGGGAGCUAAAUGUGACAGGAGCAUUGACCUAAAGGAAUGGCAUUGGACAUGAUGGAACUUGAUGUGUUGGAAGCAAUGGUAUUGUGACUCGCCCACUUGUCAUCAAUGACACCCAACUUGGAUUGUAUCGAGGAGAAUAAUCUUGUUCAAGAACAAAGACCAUGGCAUCCAUGAGAUCAUACUCUCAUCAUCACCACCUGUUUUCCAUCUUAUCUUGGGACGCAACUGUAGUCGUGCCCAUACCAUCAAAACCCGUGGUGGGGAGGGAGAGACCCCACGGUAUGGUGAGAGGUGUCAAGAGACAAAAAGCUGAGAGGACUUUGUAGGACAAGGUUGAGGCAACAAGACAAGGAGGGGUUGCUGCUGACGGUGGGUGAGUAACAUCAGACUGCUGUAAAGGCUUCUUGGUCUCUUACAGAAAGCAGUGGAGGACAGAGAGACCCCUCCAAAAGGAACCAAUAUGAAGUCACAAAAUAGAUGCUCAAAUCCUAAUGGGGUUCAUUUCUGCCACCACCCAACACAUCCCACUUUGGGGAGGUAAAUUUCACAUACUCUUGGGUGCAGUGGGCGUGUUCAUCAUUCUCAGUUAUCAACGAGAGAGGAACCAGCCAAUGCCUUCUCAUUGAUCAAAAACACGUCAAUCAAAUGGACAGCCGCCUACUUGAUUUGCUUAGGCAUGCAUUUCCUCUUGUACUAAUACAGCUAAGAAUGUAUCACUAGCCAUCAUCAGUUAAUUAAAAAUAUGCUCUCG